CAACUUUAGUCGGAAUCUUGCAAUUUCAGCUUCCUAACUGAAAUUCUUGCUUACCUUAGGUUAGAGCACCUUCUAAACCAGCCUCCCAGGUCACUAAGAUAGCUUAAUAAGAUUCGCAAACCUGCUGCGAAGAAAAAAGCGCAAACUAUAUCAAGUUGCGGCAAAAACUCGCGUUUAAUUCCAAAUUCACUUCAUAAAGAACUAGGUUACACAAUCAAGCUUUAAAAUAGCUGAUCCCUGAUCUAAAGAGGUUCAUUCACAGCUAAUUAUCUCAUUUAUAAUAGCUGAAUUCUCAGUUUAGCACAGCCAAGAGCAAAAAUCUGAAAUCGCUACUCAAAUCGACGACUAGAGUGCCGAUAACGGAAAAACAUCAAGUCGUUUACCUUUCAAGCUUCCAACCAGCAACCCACUGGUCCAGAGCUGCGAAAAGCUCUCCAAAACACUCCCUCACACGUCCACGUAGGCUCUGCAACACUUGCGAACAUCGAAGAACCAACGUUGCGACGAAAACGAGCGAAAUCGGCGAAUUCGAUGUAGAGAGAGAAAAACCCUAGAGAGAGAAAGAGAGAAAUGGUGGAGAACCCUCCUCUGGUCUCAAAACCCUUCCACAGAGCUCCUGGAGUCGUGCUGGACUGAAAUAGAUAGGAUCAAAGUGUGAAAAGACCAAAAUACCCAAGCUGCCACAUUUCUGCCUUGUGUACCGGUACACCAUAGCGGCUGUACCGGUACAGCAAGCAGAAAAGGCUGAAUUUCGCCCGUUCAAGCAUUUUCUCACUUUUAGCAUUCCGAUCAUCCUCUAACUUAUCCAAAAACUUGUUCUAACCUUUUAGAACAUGUAGGAGUGAUCCACACACCAUUCCACAUACUCGAACUCCGCAAUUUGCGAAAGUCCAGUGUAUUACA
rnacentral:lncRNA from 1 species